GCCAGAGGAGGCGAGCGUUAUCCGGAAUUAUUGGGCGUAAAGCGUUCGUAGGUGGUUUGACAAGUCUGGGGUUAAAGCCCGGAGCCCAACUCCGGAUCGGCCCUGGAAACUGUCAGACUUGAGUAAGGUAGGGGUUGCGGGAAUUCCCGGUGUAGCGGUGAAAUGCGUAGAUAUCGGGAAGAACACCAGCGGCGAAGGCGCGCAACUGGGCCAUUACUGACACUGAGGGAAGAAAGCUAGGGGAGCGAAUGGG
rnacentral:rRNA from 1 species